UAGCUAGUUGGUGAGGUAAAGGCUUACCAAGGCGACGAUCUGUAGCGGGUCUGAGAGGAUGAUCCGCCACACUGGAACUGAGACACGGUCCAGACUCCUACGGGAGGCAGCAGUGGGGAAUUUUGGACAAUGGGGGCAACCCUGAUCCAGCCAUGCCGCGUGAGUGAAGAAGGCCUUCGGGUUGUAAAGCUCUUUCGGCCGGGAAGAAAUCGCAUGGGCCAAUACCCUGUGUGGAUGACGGUACCGGAAUAAGAAGCACCGGCUAACUACGUGCCAGCAGCCGCGGUAAUACGUAGGGUGCGAGCGUUAAUCGGAAUUACUGGGCGUAAAGCGUGCGCAGGCGGUUUUGUAAGACAGGCGUGAAAUCCCCGGGCUUAACCUGGGAACUGCGUUUGUGACUGCAAGGCUAGAGUACGGCAGAGGGGGGUGGAAUUCCACGUGUAGCAGUGAAAUGCGUAGAGAUGUGGAGGAACACCAAUGGCGAAGGCAGCCCCCUGGGUCGAUACUGACGCUCAUGCACGAAAGCGUGGGUAGCAAACAGGAUUAGAUACCCUGGUAGUCCACGCCCUAAACUAUGUCAACUAGGUGUUGGGUGGGUAAAACCAUUUAGUACCGUAGCUAACGCGUGAAGUUGACCGCCUGGGGAGUACGGCCGCAAGGUUAAAACUCAAAGGAAUUGACGGGGACCCGCACAAGCGGUGGAUGAUGUGGAUUAAUUCGAUGCAACGCGAAAAACCUUACCUACCCUUGACAUGCCAGGAACUUGCCAGAGAUGGCUUGGUGCCCGAAAGGGAGCCUGGACACAGGUGCUGCAUGGCUGUCGUCAGCUCGUGUCGUGAGAUGUUGGGUUAAGUCCCGCAACGAGCGCAACCCUUGUCGUUAAUUGCCAUCAUUUGGUUGGGCACUUUAACGAGACUGCCGGUGACAAACCGGAGGAAGGUGGGGAUGACGUCAAGUCCUCAUGGCCCUUAUGGGUAGGGCUUCACACGUCAUACAAUGGUCGGUACAAAGGGCUGCCAAGCCGCGAGGCGGAGCCAAUCCCAGAAAGCCGAUCGUAGUCCGGAUUGCAGGCUGCAACUCGCCUGCAUGAAGUCGGAAUCGCUAGUAAUCGUGGAUCAGCAUGUCACGGUGAAUACGUUCCCGGGUCUUGUACACACCGCCCGUCACACCAUGGGAGCGGGUUCCGCCAGAAGUAGGUAGCCUAACCGCAAGGGGGGCGCUUACCACGGCGGGGUUCGUGACUGGGGUGAAGUCGUAACAAGGUAGCCGUAGGGGAACCUGCGGCUG
rnacentral:rRNA from 1 species